UCCAAGACCAUCGUGAAGUGCUGCUGGAGGUUCUCCACCUCCUCCUCUAAGAUCCAAUGAGUUGACCACCCUCCCAGCAUCGCCCAGUUCUCCUUCUCCUUGCCCGGUGCUGGUGGUCCAUGAAUCCCUCUGGCGGAUCAGCCACUCCCUAUCUUGCCUCCUUGGCCAGUCAUUAUCAUAAGCACUUGGAACUCAAAGAAUCCCGAUCGCACACGAAUACUAAAGCAAACUCUCCCCAGAACUUUCCCCAUCCAUGUCGUUUAAUUUUCAAAGCUAUUUUUCCAUAAAGGAUAUGAGAUCUUCUUUUUUUUCUUUCUAUGAGAUUCGGGCCGGUCCACUCCAAAGCUAUUUCUGUGUACAUAUGAAUAUAGGCAUAGCCAAGCCUGUAAUUCUAUGAUUUUAUUGGUUAUACUGGUCCAAUCCACGAAUCCAAUAGAAUUUUCAGCCCAUUCAUUCAAAUAGACCCGAAUUGUGGAAAAUUAUUCCUAUGAAAAAGCUACUUUCCCAUCUCUUUUAUUUGAAAUCUCCAACCAAACAUGUAGUAUUUUUUAUUUUUCCAUUGACCACUC
rnacentral:lncRNA from 1 species